CUGUUAGCUUUUGCUUCAUGUAUUUUAGAGCUCUGAUGUCAGUAUCUGACUUCAGCGAUUUGUCUUCUUGUCUCAAUAAGUGUAAGAAGUGGGUAGAGGAUGGAAAGGGAGAAGAAAGGAUUAAAGUUAAGCCUGAAUGUUUCAUUCUCCACCUUAACAUGACCGCAUCUACUAAUAGCCAAUAAAAUGAAUUGGCCUCUCUACUGGGCUGCUUGACCUUCCUCAUGACAUGGCAGUUGGUUUUUCCCAGAGCAGAUAAGUCAAGAAAUCAAAACAGAAAUGACAUUGGAUUUUAUGACCUAGCCUAAGAAGUGAAACAUUAUCAUUUACUUUGUAUUCAUUUUAUCACACAGGAACAACCAUGAUUCAAUAUGUGAGUAGGCUAUACAGGAGACAGGAACCAUUGGGAGCCAUUUUGAACACUCUCUACUACAGGAUCAAAAGCAAAUAAUUACAAAACAGUACAUCAAUGCAACAAUGGCAUUAUAUGUAAGACAUCCUCAUGGAAUGAUCUGCUUGAAAA
rnacentral:lncRNA from 10 species